CCUGGUUGAUCCUGCCAGUAGUCAUAUGCUUGUCUCAAAGAUUAAGCCAUGCAUGUCUAAGUUCAAGCGAAAAUAAAGUGAAACCGCGAAUGGCUCAUUACAUCAGUUAUGGUUCCUUAGAUCGCACUUACUACUUGGAUAACUGUGGUAAUUCUAGAGCUAAUACAUGCGCUGAGCUCCAACCCUCGUGGAAGGAGCGCUUUUAUUAGAUCAAAGCCAAUCGGGCCUUCGGGUCCGUUACAUUGGUGACUCUGAAUAACUUUGCUGAUCGCACGGUCUCGUACCGGCGACGUAUCUUUCAAGUGUCUGCCUUAUCAACUGUCGAUGGUAGGUUAUGCGCCUACCAUGGUGGUAACGGGUAACGGGGAAUCAGGGUUCGAUUCCGGAGAGGGAGCCUGAGAAACGGCUACCACAUCCAAGGAAGGCAGCAGGCGCGCAAAUUACCCACUCCCAGCUCGGGGAGGUAGUGACGAAAAAUAACGAUACGGAACUCUUAUGAGGCUCCGUAAUCGGAAUGAGUACACUUUAAAUCCUUUAACGAGGAUCUAUUGGAGGGCAAGUCUGGUGCCAGCAGCCGCGGUAAUUCCAGCUCCAAUAGCGUAUAUUAUGUUGCUGCGGUUAAAAAGCUCGUAGUUGGAUCUCGGUUUCGGGCGAGUGGUGCACCUUGCGGUGUUUACUGUUUGCCCGGACGAUCUUGUUGGUUCGUUAUGGUUCUCUUAACCGAGUGCCAUAAGUGGCCAGCACGUUUACUUUGAAAAAAUGGAGUGCUCAAAGCAGGCGCUACAGCCUGAACAUUAGUGCAUGGAAUAAUGGAAUAGGAUCUCGGUUCUAUUUCGUUGGCUUUCGGAGUCGAGGUAAUGAUUAAUAGGACAGACGGGGCAUUCGUACUGCGACGUUAGAGGUGAAAUUCUUGGAUCGUCGCAAGACGAACUACUGCGAAAGCAUUUGCCAAGAAUGUUUCAUUAAUCAAGAACGAAAGUUAGAGGUUCGAAGGCGAUCAGAUACCGCCCUAGUUCUAACCAUAAACGAUGUCGACCGGCGAUCCGCUAUCGUUAACUGAAUGACUUAGCGGGCAGCCUCCGGGAAACCAGAGUAUUUGGAUUCCGGGGGAAGUAUGGUUGCAAAGCUGAAACUUAAAGGAAUUGACGGAAGGGCACCACCAGGAGUGGAGCCUGCGGCUUAAUUUGACUCAACACGGGAAUCUCCCAGCCCGGACACCGAAGGAUUGACAGAUUGAGAGCUCUUUCUUGAUUCGGUGGUGGUGGUGCAUGGCCGUUCUUAGUGGUGGAGCGAUUUGUCUGGUUAAUCCGAUAAACGAACGAGACUCUGGCUACUAACUAGACGUUAGAUCUCUAAGGGCAUCACAGACCUGUUAUUGCUCAAUCUCGUGCGGCUAAACGCCGCCCGUCCCUCUAAGAAGCUGCGAUAGACCCACAAAGGGAUCUAACGUCUAGUUAGUAGGCCAGAGUCUCGUUCGUUAUCGGAAUUAACCAGACAAAUCGCUCCACCAACUAAGAACGGCCAUGCACCACCACCCACCGAAUCAAGAAAGAGCUCUCAAUCUGUCAAUCCUUCCGGUGUCCGGGCCUGGUGAGAUUUCCCGUGUUGAGUCAAAUUAAGCCGCAGGCUCCACUCCUGGUGGUGCCCUUCCGUCAAUU
rnacentral:rRNA from 1 species